rnacentral:tRNA from 1 species
AUGCACNGUAGCUCAGUUGGUUAGAGCACCACCUUGACAUGGUGGGGGUCGUUGGUUCGAGUCCAAUCGCGCCUACCA